rfam:Triticum urartu cultivar G1812 contig1243267, whole genome shotgun sequence.
AACUUACUCCCUUUGUCUCAAAAUUCUUGUCUUAAACUUGUCUAAAUACUGAUGUAUCUAGUUACGUUUUAGUGUUGGAUACAUCCGUAUCUACACAAAUUUAAGACAAGAAUUUUGAGAUAGAGGGAUUAAUAU